GACGAACGCUGGCGGCGUGCUUAACACAUGCAAGUCGAACGAAAAUACCAAGCUUGCUUGGUUGAUUAGUGGCGAACGGGUGAGUAACACGUGAGUAACCUGCCCCUUACUUUCCUGGAUAACUGCUCGAAAGGGUAGCUAAUACGGGAUAUUCUGACUAGCCUGCAUGGGUUGGUUUGGAAAGGUUGUUUUUCUGGUAAGGGAUGGGCUCGCGGCCUAUCAGCUUGUUGGUGGGGUGAUGGCCUACCAAGGCUUUGACGGGUAGCCGGCCUGAGAGGGUGGACGGUCACACUGGGACUGAGAUACGGCCCAGACUCCUACGGGAGGCAGCAGUGGGGAAUAUUGCACAAUGGGCGCAAGCCUGAUGCAGCGACGCCGCGUGAGGGAUGAAGGCCUUCGGGUUGUAAACCUCUUUCGUCAGGGAACAAGGCACUGCUUUGGUGGUGUUGAGGGUACCUGGAUAAGAAGCGCCGGCUAACUACGUGCCAGCAGCCGCGGUAAUACGUAGGGCGCAAGCGUUGUCCGGAAUUAUUGGGCGUAAAGAGCUCGUAGGCGGCUGGUCGCGUCUGUCGUGAAAACUUCCGGCUCAACCGGGGGCUUGCGGUGGGUACGGGCCGGCUAGAGUGCGGUAGGGGUAACUGGAACUCCUGGUGUAGCGGUGGAAUGCGCAGAUAUCAGGAAGAACACCGAUGGCGAAGGCAGGUUACUGGGCCGUUACUGACGCUGAGGAGCGAAAGCGUGGGGAGCGAACAGG
rnacentral:rRNA from 1 species